UUGAACGCUGGCGGCAGGCCUAACACAUGCAAGUCGAGCGGUUGAGAGUAGCUUGCUACUUGAUGCAGCGGCGGACGGGUGAGUAACGCGUGGGAAUCUGCCCAGUAGUGGGGGACAACAGCCGGAAACGGCUGCUAAUACCGCAUACGCCCUACGGGGGAAAGGGGGGGAUCUUCGGACCUCUCGCUAUUGGAUGAGCCCGCGUCGGAUUAGCUAGUUGGUAGGGUAAAGGCCUACCAAGGCUACGAGCCGUAACUGGUCUGAGAGGAUGAGCAGUCACACUGGAACUGAGACACGGUCCAGACUCCUACGGGAGGCAGCAGUGGGGAAUAUUGGACAAUGGGGGAAACCCUGAUCCAGCCAUGCCGCGUGCGUGAAGAAGGCCUUAGGGUUGUAAAGCACUUUCAGUGGGGAGAAAGGUUUGUCACCUAAUACGUGAUGAAAUUGAUGUUACCCACAGAAGAAGCACCGGCUAACUCCGUGCCAGCCGCCGCAGUAACAC
rnacentral:rRNA from 1 species